UAACAAACUUGUGAUUUUAAUAAUGCAUUAGUAAAUGUUGAAAUUAACAUUAAGAUUAAUAAAUGCUGGUAAAGUAUUGUUCAUUCUUAGUUCUCGUUAACUAAUGUAGUUAACUAAUGUUAACUAACAAACCUUAAUGUGAAGUGUUAGCUUAAAAUGUUUAAAAUGUAUAAUUGUUACGUGCAGUACAUACACGUAGAGUACAUGUGCAGUAUAUAAUCCAACAAUACAUCCCAUAUAAAUUCACCAACUUCCCAGUAAAAUGAAUAAAAGAUUCUUUAUGGAAUACACAUUAGAGAUAAUUUGCGGCCAUGGCAGUGUAUCAUAGCUUUAAUCAGAGUAACAGUGCUCAUCGCGGCCCGCACCGCUCCGGCAUCGCCAUUCAAGACGUCCCAAAGGUUUCACCCACAAAGACAGAUGCGGUGCAACGGCACACAGAGCAGGGCCUUUCUCUGCUCACGGGUAAAAGCAGGAGAGGAAAUCAGAUGCCUUGUUGGGGGAAAUAGCUUUAGCAGAUGGGGAAAAGAGUGUGGAGUCAGGGCCUUAUUUAGAGAGAGCGGAGAAGACGAGAGACGCUCAUUCUCAACUCAUCUCUGUCACACCGCCGACGUCUCGGGUAAUCUGGUGUAGACUGACUCACUCCACAACGAUUCACCGAAUCUCUAUCUCCGUGAUCGAAGCAGGGAUGUGUCUGUCUCCUUCAGGAAAGGUCCUGUUUUUCCUCAUAAGGAAGAAUUAGCCUCUCAGACAUUACCACAGCGAGCCUGCGGCGUGCAGCUUUAGGGCGAGUGUUUCCCUGCUUCACCACAGUCUGAGGCCCAACGGCCCCCGUCCUGCCCUUUAAUUAGAUUACCCAACAUUCCCAAUUUCGUCGGGCGACGCGUUGGGCAGCUCUUAGCUUUAGAGAGUCGUAAUACGGUGUCUUAAAGAGAGGAAAUGACCUAAAUGGCUGUCGGACACGAUUUUGUUACAGCCGAUGGUGUGCUGACAAAAAUCACAUCUGUGAAAUCACAGGCGUCAGGAUUUAAAAACGCUUGCUGAAAUGACGCUUCGUGCCGUGCUGUGACUGAACAGAAUGGAGAGACGUCAUUGGAAGUAAAUGAAGGACCAUCACACAUAUUUGGAACAUGAGGGAGAGAGGUGCUGAAUUAGAGUGAUGUUCGGUCAUUAAUCAUCAUUGCAACACCAAAGAAGGCAACUGAACAGACCACAAGGCAUGUUUGAGACCUCUCCACACAUCAG